ensembl:lncRNA
GCGCGAGUUUAGGACCUCGUGCUCGCCGGCGCCCUCCCAUUCCUGCAGUCGGCCCGCGGCGCCAGGGGGCGUGCCGAUAAGUCCUAUUCAUCGAGGGAGGAGCCGGGCACUGCCCACCAGGAGGCCCCACAGCCAGAGGGAGACGGAGUCAUGCCAAGAAGCUCCUUUACCACGGAAAACUGUGAUGUGCCUUGUAGAGAAAAUACAUAUAUUAGUCAAUGAAGUGGAGAAGAAAUAAUGGUAUUCCAGUUCCAAGUCCAGGCCUAAAUAAGCUUCUGCUUGCUGUUUGUACUUGUAUCAUCACCUGGAGCAGAAUGAGCUUGGGCCAGCCUGCUGGUUCCAGGAAGAGAGUAAUAGACACUUGGAACACAGCAGAAGCACCUCAGCUGAGCCCAGCCUCCACUGGCCAACCCACUGCUAACCCCCAAGACAUAUAAGCUAAAUAAAUGUUUGCUUGUAAUAUGACAUUGGGAAUUUGUGGUGGUGGUGGCCCCAGGGUUUAUACAGCAACACCUAAUUGCUAGAUCUGCCCCAAAUUUUCAUACUCAAAUUCAGGGGAGUAACCAGGUGUCAGUUGAUACAGCUGCCCCAAAUUCAAAUAACCAAAUAAAAACAUGUAGUUGUUACCUCCAAAAAUGUUAUUUCCAACUUGACUAUACUCAUAGUCUCAUUUUUCCAGAAACUAUUAAAAAUUCAGCAGCUUCUAUUCAAACACAUCAGGAAGUUUUUGACAAAUUGAUGUUUGAUGUCUUAAUAAAAGCAUUUGAGACCC